rnacentral:tRNA from 1 species
GGAGGUGUGCCAGAGCGGUUUAAUGGACUGGUCUUGAAAACCAGCGAAGGGGAAACUCUUCCGUGAGUUCGAAUCUCACCGCCUCCGCCA